GGGUCGUACAAAAUACCACAAACAACUAAAUUCUGCCACAACAAACUACUCAGGUUCUGAGGGUGCCCAAAUCAUACCCCCCGCGCAGCGACCUUAUCUGGGGAGCUGAACCUGACCAAUGUGACUUCGCCUCGAUGAACCGGUGGCGCUAGCCACUACCUCCUAGUGGCCCCUCAACCAAACGGAGAUCUGGUCGGAUUUGGAGUGAACCUUGACAGAGAGACUUAAUGAGUUAAAAUCUCGACGGGAAGAAGUCCAACCGGUGGAGCCUCACGAAUGGCCUAAUAAGAUGGAAACUAUGUUCUAAUGUUGCAGAACGAAGGUAAAAGGACAAGCUGAAGGCGAAAUGAAUAGCGGUUUACGUGAACCUGCAUGCCGACGGCAAUAUAAUGAAACU